UGAUGAAUUGUGGUCUCCCAAGAA
rnacentral:piRNA from 1 species